GACGGAGGAUGCAAGUGUUAUCCGGAAUCACUGGGCGUAAAGCGUCUGUAGGUGGUUUAAUAAGUCAACUGUUAAAUCUUGAGGCUCAACCUCAAAAUCGCAGUCGAAACUAUUAGGCUAGAGUAUAGUAGGGGUAAAGGGAAUUUCCAGUGGAGCGGUGAAAUGCGUAGAGAUUGGAAAGAACACCGAUGGCGAAGGCACUUUACUGGGCCAUUACUGACACUGAGAGACGAAAGCUAGGGGAGCAAAUGGG
rnacentral:rRNA from 1 species